rnacentral:lncRNA from 1 species
UUUAUUUAUUCCACAAAAUCCAUCAUUGGUCAACAGUCUCAAAUAGAACAGCUACUUCUUUUUACUUUGGAAAGAAUGUCUGAAGUACAAAGAGUGUUUGAACCCAACACCUUUCAUCUUGAACCGUGGGCUGCCGGGAAAAGGAAACCUGUAGCAGUUUCCUCGAGUCACUUAGUGCUGAUUCACUUAGGUGGAAGUGGAUCCUCCUGAUAUGCCUUUCAGCUCUAAGAGCUUUAACGACGCCUAGCACAGCGGUGUCACCGACAGUGCCAUUGAUACAUCACAAUUCUCGGCUUUCCAGGGGCAGAAACAGAAGGCUAAUGCAGAUUGCUUAUUAAAGGUACACCCAGCUGCAGAAGCGUGCCAGAUGAGACAAUCCCCCAGUAGCCAUGUAAUGAGAAGUUUCCCUCUCAAGAGUGAAAAAUAGGCAGUAAAACCCCAAAACAAGAUGGCAAAGGAGUGGAACCACAUAUGGCUCCAGACUGUAGCAUUCAUCAGGGAGUUAUAUUUUGGUGUCAGAAAAUGAUCAGAUAGCCUGCCCCAAAUUUCAGUGCUGCGAUAUUCUUGCUUCUGUAACAACCACAAUGGAAUACAUUUCUUAUGUCACUGGGACUAGAUCAGGUACUGCUACAAAACCCAUGAAGAGUACUAUUGAAGAGUACUAUUACAGCAAGAAGGAGAAGAUUUUCAUAUCCUUAUUCAACUUCAAAUGCAUUCCCCGUAACCAGAAAUAG